CUGAGACUCAAGGAAAUGACAAGAGAAUAAAACUCAACACUGAGUGAUGUGAACAUCAGAGUCUAGAGAGACUCUCCCGCUGCUGCUGCCAGGAUGAGUGACAGCAGUGAUCAGGAGAGAGAGCAGGCUGCAGGUCUCAGACCAGAGGAUGUGCUACUCCGGUGGAUGACCUUGAAGAAAGACAAGAAAGUGGAUCCUAACAUCAAAUUAACACACUCUGUUGAUGAUGUUGACCCACAGACACACAGACCUCCAUCUCCAGUGCCCAGCUGUGUGUCCAUGAAGAGUGAUGCGUCCAUGUGUGAUAUGCCCCAAUUCAGCAGUGAACCAGUUCCAUCAGGUCUAAA